rnacentral:lncRNA from 1 species
UUGCCUUACAGUUGCUGAGAGGAGGCGAGAGGCGGGGGCGCUAGGGCCGAGAUCAUGUCUGACUGGGAGAGGUUUCCUUGGCAGCAGAGGACGCUAGGUUUGGGAUGAAAGAAGCUGGGCAGAUGCAAAAUCUGGAGAGCGCGAGGGCCGGGCGGUCAGUCAGCACCCAGACUGGCAGCAUGACCGUCAGAUACCAAGGCUUUCUAAAGUCAACCUUUUCACUCUGCUCAGCCUCUGGAUGGAGCUCUUUCCAGCAGAAGCCCAGCGGCAAAAAUCUCAGAAAAUGAAGAGGGAAAGCAUGGACCCUUAGGAGAUAAUGAAGAGAGGACCAGAGUAUCUACUGACAAAAGACAGUAAAGAGAACUGGUCUUGUGGUGGUGAAAAACAUGAAAAUUGUUGGUCUCCACUGUUCUAGUGAAGAUUUACAUGCCGGGCAGAUUGCUCUUAUUAAACAUGGGUCAAGGCUGAAAAACUGUGAUCUUUAUUUUUCCAGAAAACCAUGUUCUGCUUGUUUGAAAAUGAUUGUAAAUGUGGAGUUAACCGAAUUUCAUACUGGCCUGCUGAUCCAGAAAUAAGUUUGCUUACGGAGGCUUCUAGUUCUGAAGAUGCAAAGUUAGAUGCCAAAGCAGUGGAAAGAUUGAAGUCAAACAGUCGGGCCCAUGUGUGUGUCUUACUUCAACCUUUGGUGUGUUAUAUGGUGCAGUUUGUAGAGGAGACCUCUUACAAAUGUGACUUUAUUCAAAAAAUUACAAAAACAUUGCCGGAUGCUAACACUGACUUUUAUUAUGAAUGUAAACAAGAAAGAAUAAAAGAAUAUGAAAUGUUAUUUUUGGUUUCAAAUGAAGAAAUGCAUAA